GACGAACGCUGGCGGCGUGCCUAAUACAUGCAAGUCGAACGCACUCUCGUUUAGAUUGAAGGAGCUUGCUCCUGAUUGAUAAACAUUUGAGUGAGUGGCGGACGGGUGAGUAACACGUGGGUAACCUGCCCUAAAGUGGGGGAUAACAUUUGGAAACAGAUGCUAAUACCGCAUAAAACCUAACACCGCAUGGUGUAGGGUUGAAAGAUGGUUUCGGCUAUCACUUUAGGAUGGACCCGCGGUGCAUUAGUUAGUUGGUGAGGUAAAGGCUCACCAAGACCGUGAUGCAUAGCCGACCUGAGAGGGUAAUCGGCCACACUGGGACUGAGACACGGCCCAGACUCCUACGGGAGGCAGCAGUAGGGAAUCUUCCACAAUGGACGAAAGUCUGAUGGAGCAACGCCGCGUGAGUGAAGAAGGUUUUCGGAUCGUAAAACUCUGUUGUUGGAGAAGAAUGUAUCUGAUAGUAACUGAUCAGGUAGUGACGGUAUCCAACCAGAAAG
rnacentral:rRNA from 1 species